GAUGAACGCUGGCGGCGUGCUUAACACAUGCAAGUCGAACGAAGCACUUUUAUUUGAUUUCUUCGGAAUGAAGAUUUUAGUGACUGAGUGGCGGACGGGUGAGUAACGCGUGGGUAACCUGCCUCAUACAGGGGGAUAACAGUUAGAAAUGACUGCUAAUACCGCAUAAGACCACAGCACCGCAUGGUGCAGGGGUAAAAACUCCGGUGGUAUGAGAUGGACCCGCGUCUGAUUAGGUAGUUGGUGGGGUAACGGCCUACCAAGCCGACGAUCAGUAGCCGACCUGAGAGGGUGACCGGCCACAUUGGGACUGAGACACGGCCCAAACUCCUACGGGAGGCAGCAGUGGGGAAUAUUGCACAAUGGGGGAAACCCUGAUGCAGCGACGCCGCGUGAGCGAUGAAGUAUUUCGGUAUGUAAAGCUCUAUCAGCAGGGAAGAAAAUGACGGUACCUGACUAAGAAGCACCGGCUAAAUACGUGCCAGCAGCCGCAGUAA
rnacentral:rRNA from 1 species